GACGAACGCUGGCGGCGUGCUUAACACAUGCAAGUCGAACGGAAAGGCCCCUUUGGGGGUACUCGAGUGGCGAACGGGUGAGUAACACGUGAGUAACCUGCCCUUGACUUCGGGAUAACUUCAGGAAACUGGGGCUAAUACCGGAUAGGAAUCCUUGCUGCAUGGUGGGGGUUGGAAAGCUUCGGCGGUUUUGGAUGGACUCGCGGCUUAUCCGCUUGUUGGUGGGGUAGUGGCUUACCAAGGCUUUGACGGGUAGCCGGCCUGAGAGGGCGACCGGCCACAUUGGGACUGAGAUACGGCCCAGACUCCUACGGGAGGCAGCAGUGGGGAAUAUUGCACAAUGGGCGGAAGCCUGAUGCAGCAACGCCGCGUGCGGGAUGACGGCCUUCGGGUUGUAAACCGCUUUCAGCAGGGGCGAAGCUUGUGGUGACGGUACCUGCAGAAGAAGCACCGGCUAACUACGUG
rnacentral:rRNA from 1 species